UUGAACGCUGGCGGCAUGCUUUACACAUGCAAGUCGAACGGUAACAGGCCGCAAGGUGCUGACGAGUGGCGAACGGGUGAGUAAUGCAUCGGAACGUGCCCAGUCGUGGGGGAUAACUACUCGAAAGAGUAGCUAAUACCGCAUACGAUCUAUGGAUGAAAGCGGGGGACCGUAAGGCCUCGCGCGAUUGGAGCGGCCGAUGUCAGAUUAGGUAGUUGGUGGGGUAAAGGCUCACCAAGCCAACGAUCUGUAGCUGGUCUGAGAGGACGACCAGCCACACGGGGACUGAGACACGGCCCAGACUCCUACGGGAGGAAGCAGUGGGGAAUUUUGGACAAUGGGCGCAAGCCUGAUCCAGCAAUGCCGCGUGCAGGAAGAAGGCCUUCGGGUUAUAAACUGCUUUUGUACGGAACGAAACGGCUCUGGUUAAUACCCGGGGCUAAUGACGGUACCGUAAGAAUAAGCACUGGCUAACUACGUG
rnacentral:rRNA from 1 species